CAGAAACUGAAUCAUCUAACUGCCAGUGUGGGGCUCUGUUGAAUGCCUGAUUAUGGUGGCAGUCACUGGGCAUGGAGAAAGACAGAUACACAAAGACGGGCAGCAAUGAAAUAUCCGCAGGCGUUUGGUGGAAAAACAUAUGGUUUGAUUAUGCUUAUUGAUACACACACCUAAACCCAUAGAAUGUAAAAACAGCCCCUGCAUCUCUGUUUACAUGUCACCCUAUUGUACUGUACAUCGUGUAUCCCUCUAUCAGUUCUAUCUGUCUGCAAAGGAAAAGAAUCAUUCCUAAACACACAUUUCUCUUCACCUCUUAAAACAUUAGCUUUUGAUAAAUAUAGGCAAAGCUUUUAUUUAAAAUCUGUGAAACAGCAUGUUUUCAAAAGUGAAAGAGGACCGAUUACAGACAGCUGUGGCACUCCAAAUGUGGCUCUCCACCCCAUGGUUAGGACAGCAGUUAGUGAGGGACUUCCUGCAUGGAAAGCUGUGUAUGUUUUCCUUCAAUGAAUUGAACAUCCUGCAGAUCUUAAAUUCCAGUCAGCAGUAAACUCCCUGACCUCUGAGCACAAAAUUAGGCACAUCAUACAAGCAAAAGACAAAAGGGAAAGGAAGGACUUCAAAUCAGAACAGAAAGACAGAGAUAAAAGAAAGAUAGAGACAGGGAGAAUGAGGGAUGAUUCAAACUUACACAUCUUCUGUGUUGGACUUUUCAUAAAUAUACAUUGUAUGAAAAGGAAACCAGUGUACAUGAUUAAUUAUAGGCUAUACAAGCAAAGUUUUUUUUCAACAGCAGAAAAUUUAUAAGAUCAUAAAGUACACAACCUAUUUCUAGCUAUUUAUUCCUCACCUGACCAUGUGUUAUUUUGUAUUCAGGUUAAUUAAAAUUAAAUUUAAUAAAAUAAGUUAUGUUACAACAUGGAACACAUUUGUUAUGUUACGUGAUGACAAACAUUUUUUUGCAAUAUAUCUAAUCACAGGAAAAUGUGGGACAAUGAACAAAGCAACCCAUAUAAACAGAUCUAGUCAUUGUAUUGUAAUGCUCGUAAACAUCCAGACUCUUUUUACAUAUAUGCGAGAUCCAUUUGUUUAUUAUGACACAUAUAUGCAAUAAAAGGGAUGAUCUUGUACUGUAUUAUACCAUUCUAUGUCUAAUAACACAGUGAUGUAAACAGCCAUGAAAGUGUCAGAUUUCAUCCACUAUUACAUGGACAGGGUUGUCAGUUACAACAUAAGCGGUGAACCCUCACUGCCAAUGUGUUUAUUGAGCUAUUAUCAAUUGACUGAUGAAACAAACUACUCACCAGUCAACAUAUGUUCCUGAUUUGCUGGAUUUAUUUGAUUUUAAACCAUAUGUUUUCUGUUUUGAAAUGAUUAUGGAGGUUCGCAACAGAGCAUUCUCUGCAGAUCACAAACAUUAGAGUUUUGGUGAAACAAUAUGAUUUUACUUUUGUUUAUUUUGAGUUUCAAGAGCCGUGGUGAAUUUUCCUGAGGCGACGAGAGACAUUUUAAUCCAUGUAUUUCUUUUUUCAUAAGGUACAUUUUCCUGUUUAAUAAAAUAUACUGCUUCAUAUGACUAACAUGGAAAUAAAAUAUGUGCCUUCUGCCUUCCUCAUACCACAGUCACAAAAUAUAUUCACUGGCUAUAUAUUUAAUGUUUUUGACCUUCUUCCUCUUGUCCUGAAAUACUCCCAUAUCUCCAGUCAUCUAUCAGAAAAUGCUUAAAGGUAAGUGGUGUCCCCUCAUUACCUUGAAGGGCUGGUUCUGCCUUUGGUUCACAGGUGCACAGCAAUUGAUAAAUCCAGAAAUGCCAUACAAUAAUGUAAUGUUUAAUUCCUAAUGUACAGAAUGUAACAUGUUUAUGUUCUGACCAGUGUUGACAUUUGACAUAUCUGAAUGCCUAUAAAUAAACUAUUUUGCAAUACGUGCAUAUUACAA